rnacentral:rRNA from 1 species
AUUGAACGCUGGCGGCAGGCCUAACACAUGCAAGUCGAACGGUAACAGGAAACAGCUUGCUGUUUCGCUGACGAGUGGCGGACGGGUGAGUAAUGUCUGGGAAACUGCCUGAUGGAGGGGGAUAACUACUGGAAACGGUAGCUAAUACCGCAUAACGUCGCAAGACCAAAGAGGGGGACCCUCGGGCCUCUUGCCAUCGGAUGUGCCCAGAUGGGAUUAGCUUGUUGGUGGGGUAACAGCUCACCAAGGCGACGAUCCCUAGCUGGUCUGAGAGGAUGACCAGCCACACUGGAACUGAGACACGGUCCAGACUCCUACGGGAGGCAGCAGUGGGGAAUAUUGCACAAUGGGCGCAAGCCUGAUGCAGCCAUGCCGCGUGUAUGAAGAAGGCCUUCGGGUUGUAAAGUACUUUCAGCGGGGAGGAAGGGAGUAAAGUUAAUACCUUGGCUCAUUGACGUUACCCGCAGAAGAAGCACCGGCUAACUCCGUG